AAUGUUGAGAAUGUUAGAAGACGACCCGUUUAAAGCAUAAUAGUUUUAAGAUGAGUUAAUUACUUUUUAUUAUCAAAUUUGAUGUCAAACUAACGGUAAAUCAUUUGAUUAAAGGAUAAUCCACAAAGACAUGAGAAAUUCAGAGCAAUUGGUUACUUUAAUGUUGUGUAUUUUUCUAAUUUCUGUUUUGAUUUGUAGGUGUUUGUGGGUAGGGUUGCUUCUUUUCCAAUUCUUUUCCAUGAGGCCUUUUUUGGUUUAAUUUGAGGAUCGAAAUUUUGUUUCUGGAAUUUGGUGAAGACAAUUUGAUCAUUUGGAAUUUGAUUCACUUUCAACAAGUUUGGGAUGAUAAUCUACAAGAAUUCUGGACUACAAGAGGUGAGUGGUAUGAUUUGGAAUUCCUGAACAAUCCUUAAAAUUCUGUAAAUUUAAGGUUGAGAUUUCGACCUAGAAAAGUGGGAAAGCACCACUUUUGGACAUGAAGUCACAAUAUCCUACAUUUCGACAUCAGAAUACAGCAAUAUGAUAUAUGAUCGCAUAAUAUCAUCUACUCCUAAUCCCUACUUGCAAAUAUUAUUAGAUUUCAUAUUUCCAAGGGUAUAUAUGCCAAGGUGAUGCUUUCAUGGAUUUGGACCAAGUUGCUGCAACUGACAAGUCAUACUCCAUGGCUUUAGAGUUAGUCCAUCCGUCGAUCAAAAUCUUUCAAGCUUUUUGCAUUUGGUGGAGGAUGGAGGAGGUGCAGUAAUUUGAGCAGUGGAACAAUUAUGCUGGUAUCAACAACCAUCAGAAUUCAUAAACUACCCAUGUAUGUUGCACGUUUGUAUCUGCGGGUUUCUUGGGACAUAUGAGAAAGUGAAUUGGAUUUUAAUUUUCU